GAUGAACGCUGACAGAAUGCUUAACACAUGCAAGUCGACUGGAAUUCUUCUUCGGAAGUUAGUACGGUGGCGGACGGGUGAGUAACGCGUAAAGAAUUUGCCCUUCAGACUGGGACAACUAACCGAAAGGUUAGCUAAUACCGGAUAUUAUGAGAUCUUGGCAUCAAGAACUUAUGAAAGCUAUAUGCGCUGAAGGAGAACUUUGCGUCCCAUUAGCUAGUUGGUAGGGUAAUGGCCUACCAAGGCAACGAUGGGUAGCCGGCCUGAGAGGGUGAACGGCCACAAGGGGACUGAGACACGGCCCUUACUCCUACGGGAGGCAGCAGUGGGGAAUAUUGGACAAUGGACCAAAAGUCUGAUCCAGCAAUUCUGUGUGCACGAUGAAGGUCUUCGGAUUGUAAAGUGCUUUCAGGUGGGAAGAAGAAAGUGACGGUACCACCAGAAGAAGCGACGGCUAAAUACG
rnacentral:rRNA from 1 species